UUUAAAUGGCCGCAGUACCUUGACUGUGCUAAGGUAGCAUAAUCAAUUGGCUUCUAAUUAAAGUCUAGAAUGAAAGGAAGUAUGAGGUAAUUCUAUCUUAAAUGAUUUUUUUUUAAUUUAUUUAAAUGAUGAAAAUAUCAUUUAUUAGAAAAAAGACGAGAAGACCCUUAGAGUUUGAAUUUUUAGUUUUGUUGGGGCGACAGGUAAACAUUUUAAACUUUACUAUCUUUAUAAAUCGAUUUUUAAUAAAAAUAUAAAAACUACCUUAGGGAUAACAGCAUUAUAUUAUUAUAUGAUUGUGACCUC
rnacentral:rRNA from 1 species